AAGUCGCAACGAGGUUUCCGUAGGUGAACCUGCGGAAGGAUCAUUAAGGGGGAGUUUUUAGGGGCUCUGUCCCCCGUCCUCCCAUCCGUGAUUACAUUAGGCCCUGAUCUACCUUGGCGGGCCCGCCGGAACGGCCCGCGCGGCCCCGAUGGCGUCCCGCCGGGAGACGCAACAAACCCCUAUUUUCAACGUGGCGUCCGAGCAAAAUUGACAAAACAAGUCGAAA
rnacentral:misc_RNA from 1 species